rnacentral:lncRNA from 1 species
AACAUUUUAUCAGUCGGCUUGGCAAUUCAUAAAUUGGCAACAUUGGUUCACAGUUCUCAGAGUCUCACGUAAAUUCGGCGGCCGUUCGCCGUUCGGCUGGUCAUGCCUCGGCUACGGGGACGGGUGUGUCGGCUAGGUUUCCAAUUUAGCCAUGAGCAUGGUUUUUUUCCGGAAGUUUGAACAAUUUUUGUGCUAUUCACUGGUGCCAGACUGCUGGUGGUCCUCUUUACACGUGAGUCGUUGCCUCUGCCGUGCCAUGCACGUGGUAGAAACAAAGAAGCCAAGACAAAUAAAUGUUGAAACCAUCCCAGGAUUCAAAAAUCACACGAGCAGGAAUCUCAUAUUCGAGUCUACACACCCAUUAUCACAGUGACUACAGCUGGCAACAAAGUCGAACAAAGUAACACUGCCUGUAAAAAAAACCUUUAGCCACUGAGAAUGUUGAAAUUAUAACGCCGAAAAUUGCUGAAUCAUUGACAUGGACAGCCCACUUUCUGCCUAGAUGUUCCAGAGUUGGAGAGAAUCGAGAUUUGUUUUUAAUGGCUCAGUUGGAUGCUGGGUCCAAACAAAUUUAUAAUCUCUACGACAAACAACUAUUGGUCGUCAAAAUUUGCUGGGCAAGCAGCAAGGAUACCUGCCCAAGUGUACACGAAUAGACCUUUAAAGUAAAGUGUUACUUGUUUCACUGCCAUCUGUGUGGGGGACUAUCCCUCGACAAACCAAGCAUGUGGAGCAUAAUACCGGCACUGCUUAAUUCUCCUCUUUCCAGUUCUUCACUUUUUACUUUUUCUCCGUCACAAGGACUCGUCUACCCCUUUUUCUACACCUUUCACCUGUGACGGAUGCUUCCACGCCAAUAUUGUGACGGAAUUUACGUUCAUGAAACUAUCGGGCAGUUGCAUAUAAAUCGAAAGGAUUCGUUUUCCCGACAAGAUGCUGAUCAUCAUGGCCUUUUGAUCUCCUGCUGGAACCCAUUGUACAGGAUUUGAAGAAUUAAUUUGAGCUCCAAUUGUCAUAUUCCGAGUGCAAAACUUGCAAUCUCCAGCCUUAGCUGUGUAAGGGUAGGAUUUUUCGUCAGUUUGGCCGCAGUUGGAAGCCAAGUAUUGCCAAGCCUCGUGUUCCCAUCCGCCAGAGCAGCCGAAUUUCCUGUCUACAGUAGUUCAAUAGACUUACUCUGCUCAGUUGUCGCUCAGACAAGAUACCAGGCAAAUUGGAAGGUGGGACCGGUUCAAGUGCUCCGAAAUAAGGUUGCUGUUCGUCUUCAGUCUUUAAAAUGAACAAGGGAAGCAGACGGAUCUACUUUACAGAAAAUUUCAAUAAAGUUGUAUACUCCGUAAUCUUGGCAUGCGUUUCCUCAAAGAUGGAUUCGCGUUUUCCUAAUUCGGCUUUCGUUUGAACUCCUAACGGGAAUUCGUCCUUUGGAGUGAAACCUGGAUAUUAAUUUCCCCACAAAUAUGGACCAAGAUGAGAAUGCUAAUACUUUUUGCCAUUUUUAUAACGGUGAAGAAAAUUGAGCUAACCAACAAUCAAGAAAUAAUGGGAGUGUUGAGCUUGAUGCGUGCGAACCCCUCGGGUGUUUAUUGUGGACUCGUCAACAGGGUACGAAAUGGAAACUUGACGAGAGGAGACCUUCAACAUACUGAAACACUGAUCUGGAUGACUUGAUGACCUCGUUCUGCCUUUUCCCAUUCGUCCAUCGCUAUCAUUUCACCUGAGAAAUUUUCGGAAGAAACUUGAUAUAAAACGCUGGAUGAUGUUCAUUGGUCACUAUUUAAAUUCCAACAGAUUUUUAUCGGCGACUGCAAGUAUUCCGGCGGGCAUCUCCCAAUCGUUGAUUCCGACACUUUCCAGCAAAGAUGAAGUGGAGGAUUUCAUUAAACAUGACCGGUUUAAGGUCUUUAACUUCGAAUUGACGACUUUCCUCAUAGUGUGGAUUGGAUAUCUAGGCACAUACGUUGGAUAGGAUAUCUAGGCACAUACGUUUCGAUCUGACAUCGGGCUGGGACAAAUAGAUAUUCCUUAAUUUGAAAUAUCUUACAGGGCAUGGUUUGAAUUAAGUAAAAUAUUUAUUGGGGAGGGUGUACCCUCCAAAGACGAGGUAUUUUACUAUUAUACCAUCAUAAUUGAUGGUAUUUCCCAAACAAUUGGUCUUGGCAAUACAAAUAUGAAUGUUGACAUUGGCCAUAUUCAACGAAAAAUUGCGAGGCACUCCCACACAGAAUUGUAUUGCCUUAAACCAAGAAUAUCAAAUAACAAUGCAAUCAAGUACAUAGAGGUGAUUAUUAUUAUUAUUUUUUUUUUAAUAUUGUCCUUUAAACAAUAGUAGUACUGCGAGAAUAGUAUUCAAUCCAGCAUAAGUCAACGCCUCUGCGAACGAGAACGUAUCCGGCGGCUUCCCAUCCUUCACUCCACGAAUAACGAACGACCUGAUUUAAUUAAUUUAUUGUUUUUAAAAAUUGGGAUUAACUUUAAAUUUCAAAUUUUUUUUAGGAAGUAGUAGCUGAUUAAAUUUACCCAAUAAUCGUUUUGAUCCUAUGUGCCGUAACCAACGACGUUCAUGGGGUAUUUUACUCGUAACUGAAGACGCUUACCGGCAGCUGCAUAUAGAUGGAAAUGAUCCUCCCGCCAGCCAAAACAGUCAUCAUGGCAGUAGGAUCUUGCCAAGCGACCAAUUCCACAGGAUCUGAGGAAGAAAUUUCAGCUCCGAUCGACAUAUCCGAAGGACUGAAAACGCAUGUUAGUUUAGUUUCGGCUGUGUAAGGAUAGGAACUAUCGUCAGUUUGGCCACCGUUGGACGCCAAAUAUUGCCAAGCUACUUGUUUCCAUCCACCGGAGCAGCCGUCCUCACGGCUGCAAUCGACUAUCUAUUGUUCGCUGAUCGAGGGCAGUUCCAUCGGACUUCUUACAUUUGCCAAAUUCAACCACAGCAGUGGCGGAGUGAGCCCAGCAGCUUCCACAUCCGCCUUGGUCCCUCAGGAGGCAAGCACGAAUCAGUUCGAUUCGGCUGCGUGGAGUCUUGCAGCGAGUGCCAUCAUCACAAUCACGGCGACGAAGGUAAAUUGACCUUUUCUGUACCUGCAUUAGUAUUCCAUUCGUUAAUGGCAAAUGAACGUUAAGCAAAUUUCGUGUUGACUGUAACUCACCUCAGGAAGAGCUAUAUGUUCUUGUAUAGCGUUGGAUGAGCGGCCGAAAUUUCUAUUCGAAACCUCCGCCUUUUAUACAGUUCCGAUUAUUGACUCUGUUUUUAAUGCACAUCUGAUCGAUAGAAAUUAGGGCACGUAUGAAGUAUUGCAUCUAUCUCUUCGUCAAAUUAGAAUAGCCACGUCCGCUUCGGAACGAAUCCAAGUGACACAGCAUCUGUGACUCAGAUGUAAUGGAAACCUAUUGUUGUUGGCUCUACCGUGUAGAAUCUGUUUUGUGCAGGAAUCUGGGAUACAGGUGGCUUGAAUUAG